AGCCUUCCUCCCCUUCCCAGACCCCUUUUCUCACUCUAUAAUUUCCCUCAAAUCUGCUUUCUUUGCUGAAAAGGUAGCUAAUCUGCUUUCUUUGCUGAAAGGGUAGCUAUCGUAUUGUUCUGCACCGUCGCCUGCACCGUCGUCUCAGAAAAGUGAGCCAAAAUCUCGCGAGAAUCAGGCUGCACACGAGCGGAUCCAAAGGCCAAACCUCCGAUCUUGAAGUCGACACACCCAGAGGAUCAUAUCAUAUGGACGCCUGGCUUUUGAUUGCAGCAGUCUCCUAAUCUAUUGGCUUUCGGUUCGCUGGUAAUGUGAUGUUGUCUCUGUCUUGGCUUGAAGUAUCUCACUCAUAUGUAUUCAAUCUGAAAAGGGAGAGCUUGUGCGUGCUUUAGGAGGAGUUGUGGCAUCCACAUCUCUUCUUGGAGUUCCUCUUGGACAUAACUCAUCGUUUCUUCAAGGGCCGACCUUUGCACCUCCAAGGAUUAGAGAGGCUAUCUGGUGUGGGAGCACCAACUCAACAACUGAAGAAGGUAUCUAAUUAUCUCAAUUAGUAGCAAACUUUUGCUUCUCAAAACAUUCAGUUUCGAGAAGAUUGGCUGCCCUGCUCGUGUUCUCA